UUUUCGAAUGUUUCCACAGAGAGAAGAGAGCCAGCUUUUUGGCAUUACCUCGUCCUCGGCAUUGCAGUGAUGCUUAUAGAUGGAUCUAAGGAACCGAUACCGUUCACGGAGGAGACGGAGAUCAACAUGGUGACCUGUAGCAAACUCAAGCGCCAGCCUAUGAAGCGAUUCGAGCUCACUGCAUACCGCCUUGUGAAAGAAUAGGAAAAUCAGGAUCGGAGAAAUCUCCUCCGCGUCCUCCGUGAACGUACUCGCCGCAGAAGAGGUACGCUCUCGUAAGCACCGUGGUUGAUGAAGACGCUACUCCUCCUCCGCCACCUCUCGCCGCCUCAAAGUCCGGCAACGGCGUCGCCAUUUCGUGUCCGUGAAAGAAAUCUCCGCCACUCGAUUCUACUUCCGUCUUCUACAACCGUCGAUUUUUUGAAAUCUGAGCUCGUGGAUUAUGUGUGGUUGUAUUCAACGGAGACGAUGGGAAGGAGAAAGAAAGGUCGAGGUGUUGUCUGAUAUCGAUUUUGAUUUUGAUUUUGCUUUCUUUUUUAAUUUUGGAUUAUAAUCGAAAAAAAUACUUUUAACUGUUUAAAAUUUUAAAAUACGACCUUUGAAAAUGUUUUUAUAUACGACUUAAAUAAUGGAUAAAGGAGCUUGGGGAUUGGGUGGGUGUUUCUUAUACAAGGUUUCGUAGCACGUGGCCAUUACCAUCGCCACGUUGGAUGCUUGGAUGCUGAUGUAACCAACUCAGGUUGGCACGUGACUGGUUGCCUCUCGACACGUACGAGCGUACUGCUUACCUACGAACGCUAAUGGUCCGCGGGACAGGGACGCUGGUUCUCGGAGAAUAAGGACUUUUUUUAUGUUAUGAAUCUAUGAUGAAGAUGAGGGGCAAAAAAGAGAGAUGGUUGUGGAGCACCCAUUCGUAAUCUAAAGGAGCCACAUAGCUUCUCCAACCACUGAUUAAACUAUUGCUUAGCGGUUUUGCUUUAAUUGAUUAGUGCAAUUAUACAAAGUUGACAGAAGAUGGUGAUUUGGUGAAUGUGAAAAAGAGGGUUACAAAGAGAGGAAGUGGUGAAAAGUAAAGACACAAGAGGGACGUGUGGGAAGUGUGGCGACAAUUAGGUAGCAACAAGUUCCACUCGCGCUCUCUUCUCCACAACACAUUCCCUUUUAUUUGUUCUUCA